rnacentral:rRNA from 1 species
UUAAGCGACUAAGCGUACACGGUGGAUGCCCUGGCAGUCAGAGGCGAUGAAGGACGUGCUAAUCUGCGAUAAGCGUCGGUAAGGUGAUAUGAACCGUUAUAACCGGCGAUUUCCGAAUGGGGAAACCCAGUGUGAUUCGUCACACUAUCAUUAACUGAAUCCAUAGGUUAAUGAGGCGAACCGGGGGAACUGAAACAUCUAAGUACCCCGAGGAAAAGAAAUCAACCGAGAUUCCCCCAGUAGCGGCGAGCGAACGGGGAGCAGCCCAGAGCCUGAAUCAGUGUGUGUGUUAGUGGAAGCGUCUGGAAAGGCGCGCGAUACAGGGUGACAGCCCCGUACACAAAAAUGCACAUGCUGUGAGCUCGAUGAGUAGGGCGGGACACGUGGUAUCCUGUCUGAAUAUGGGGGGACCAUCCUCCAAGGCUAAAUACUCCUGACUGACCGAUAGUGAACCAGUACCGUGAGGGAAAGGCGAAAAGAACCCCGGCGAGGGGAGUGAAAAAGAACCUGAAACCGUGUACGUACAAGCAGUGGGAGCACGCUUAGGCGUGUGACUGCGUACCUUUUGUAUAAUGGGUCAGCGACUUAUAUUCUGUAGCAAGGUUAACCGAAUAGGGGAGCCGAAGGGAAACCGAGUCUUAACUGGGCGUUAAGUUGCAGGGUAUAGACCCGAAACCCGGUGAUCUAGCCAUGGGCAGGUUGAAGGUUGGGUAACACUAACUGGAGGACCGAACCGACUAAUGUUGAAAAAUUAGCGGAUGACUUGUGGCUGGGGGUGAAAGGCCAAUCAAACCGGGAGAUAGCUGGUUCUCCCCGAAAGCUAUUUAGGUAGCGCCUCGUGAAUUCAUCUCCGGGGGUAGAGCACUGUUUCGGCAAGGGGGUCAUCCCGACUUACCAACCCGAUGCAAACUGCGAAUACCGGAGAAUGUUAUCACGGGAGACACACGGCGGGUGCUAACGUCCGUCGUGAAGAGGGAAACAACCCAGACCGCCAGCUAAGGUCCCAAAGUCAUGGUUAAGUGGGAAACGAUGUGGGAAGGCCCAGACAGCCAGGAUGUUGGCUUAGAAGCAGCCAUCAUUUAAAGAAAGCGUAAUAGCUCACUGGUCGAGUCGGCCUGCGCGGAAGAUGUAACGGGGCUAAACCAUGCACCGAAGCUGCGGCAGCGACGCUUAUGCGUUGUUGGGUAGGGGAGCGUUCUGUAAGCCUGCGAAGGUGUGCUGUGAGGCAUGCUGGAGGUAUCAGAAGUGCGAAUGCUGACAUAAGUAACGAUAAAGCGGGUGAAAAGCCCGCUCGCCGGAAGACCAAGGGUUCCUGUCCAACGUUAAUCGGGGCAGGGUGAGUCGACCCCUAAGGCGAGGCCGAAAGGCGUAGUCGAUGGGAAACAGGUUAAUAUUCCUGUACUUGGUGUUACUGCGAAGGGGGGACGGAGAAGGCUAUGUUGGCCGGGCGACGGUUGUCCCGGUUUAAGCGUGUAGGCUGGUUUUCCAGGCAAAUCCGGAAAAUCAAGGCUGAGGCGUGAUGACGAGGCACUACGGUGCUGAAGCAACAAAUGCCCUGCUUCCAGGAAAAGCCUCUAAGCAUCAGGUAACAUCAAAUCGUACCCCAAACCGACACAGGUGGUCAGGUAGAGAAUACCAAGGCGCUUGAGAGAACUCGGGUGAAGGAACUAGGCAAAAUGGUGCCGUAACUUCGGGAGAAGGCACGCUGAUAUGUAGGUGAAGUGAUUUACUCAUGGAGCUGAAAUCAGUCGAAGAUACCAGCUGGCUGCAACUGUUUAUUAAAAACACAGCACUGUGCAAACACGAAAGUGGACGUAUACGGUGUGACGCCUGCCCGGUGCCGGAAGGUUAAUUGAUGGGGUCAGCGCAAGCGAAGCUCUUGAUCGAAGCCCCGGUAAACGGCGGCCGUAACUAUAACGGUCCUAAGGUAGCGAAAUUCCUUGUCGGGUAAGUUCCGACCUGCACGAAUGGCGUAAUGAUGGCCAGGCUGUCUCCACCCGAGACUCAGUGAAAUUGAACUCGCUGUGAAGAUGCAGUGUACCCGCGGCAAGACGGAAAGACCCCGUGAACCUUUACUAUAGCUUGACACUGAACAUUGAGCCUUGAUGUGUAGGAUAGGUGGGAGGCUUUGAAGUGUGGACGCCAGUCUGCAUGGAGCCGACCUUGAAAUACCACCCUUUAAUGUUUGAUGUUCUAACGUGGACCCGUAAUCCGGGUUGCGGACAGUGUCUGGUGGGUAGUUUGACUGGGGCGGUCUCCUCCUAAAGAGUAACGGAGGAGCACGAAGGUUGGCUAAUCCUGGUCGGACAUCAGGAGGUUAGUGCAAUGGCAUAAGCCAGCUUGACUGCGAGCGUGACGGCGCGAGCAGGUGCGAAAGCAGGUCAUAGUGAUCCGGUGGUUCUGAAUGGAAGGGCCAUCGCUCAACGGAUAAAAGGUACUCCGGGGAUAACAGGCUGAUACCGCCCAAGAGUUCAUAUCGACGGCGGUGUUUGGCACCUCGAUGUCGGCUCAUCACAUCCUGGGGCUGAAGUAGGUCCCAAGGGUAUGGCUGUUCGCCAUUUAAAGUGGUACGCGAGCUGGGUUUAGAACGUCGUGAGACAGUUCGGUCCCUAUCUGCCGUGGGCGCUGGAGAACUGAGGGGGGCUGCUCCUAGUACGAGAGGACCGGAGUGGACGCAUCACUGGUGUUCGGGUUGUCAUGCCAAUGGCACUGCCCGGUAGCUAAAUGCGGAAGAGAUAAGUGCUGAAAGCAUCUAAGCACGAAACUUGCCCCGAGAUGAGUUCUCCCUGACUCCUUGAGAGUCCUGAAGGAACGUUGAAGACGACGACGUUGAUAGGCCGGGUGUGUAAGCGCAGCGAUGCGUUGAGCUAACCGGUACUAAUGAACCGUGAGGCUUAACCU